rnacentral:tRNA from 1 species
GAGGGUACAGCUCAGCGGUAGAGUGUGCAUGUUCAGCAUGCACAAGGCUCUGGGUUCAAUCCCCAGUACCUCCA